rnacentral:rRNA from 1 species
UACGUAGGUGGCAAGCGUUGUCCGGAUUUACUGGGUGUAAAGGGCGCGUAGGCGGGCCCGCAAGUCAGAUGUGAAAUACCGAGGCUUAACUUCGGAACUGCAUCUGAAACUGCGGAUCUUGAGUACUGGAGGGGAAAGUGGAAUUCCUAGUGUAGCGGUGAAAUGCGUAGAUAUUAGGAGGAACACCGGUGGCGAAGGCGGCUUUCUGGACAGUAACUGACGCUGAGGCGCGAAAGCGUGGGGAG